rnacentral:rRNA from 1 species
AUACGGAGGGUGCAAGCGUUACUCGGAAUCACUGGGCGUAAAGCGCGCGCAGGCGGUCUUUUAAGUUGGAUGUGAAAGCCUACAGCUCAACUGUAGAACUGCAUCCAAAACUAUUAGACUAGAGUCUGGAGGGGAAGAUGGAAUUAGUCGUGUAGGGGUAAAAUCCGUAGAGAUAACUAGGAAUACCAAAAGCGAAGGCGAUCUUCUGGAACAGUACUGACGCUGAGGCGCGAAAGCGUGGGGAGCAAACAGGAUUAGAAACCCCAGUAGUCC